rnacentral:rRNA from 1 species
UGACGGUACCUGACUAAGAAGCCCCGGCUAACUACGUGCCAGCAGCCGCGGUAAUACGUAGGGGGCAAGCGUUAUCCGGAUUUACUGGGUGUAAAGGGAGCGUAGACGGAGAAGCAAGUCUGAUGUGAAAACCCAGGGCUCAACCUUGGGACUGCAUUGGAAACUGGUUUUCUAGAGUGUCGGAGGGGUAAGUGGAAUUCCUAGUGUAGCGGUGAAAUGCGUAGAUAUUAGGAGGAACACCAGUGGCGAAGGCGGCUUACUGGACGACAACUGACGCUGAGGCUCGAAAGCGUGGGGAGCAAACAGGAUUAGAUACCCUG